rnacentral:rRNA from 1 species
UACGUAGGGGGCAAGCGUUGUCCGGAUUUAUUGGGUUUAAAGGGUGCGUAGGCGGCCUAUUAAGUCAGUGCUGAAAUAUCCCGGCUUAACCGGGAGGGUGGCAUUGAUACUGAUGGGCUUGAGUAAAGUUGAGGUAGGCGGAAUUGACGGUGUAGCGGUGAAAUGCUUAGAUAUCGUCAAGAACACCUAUUGCGAAGGCAGCUUACUAAGCUUUAACUGACGCUGAUGCACGAAAGUGUGGGGAUCAAACAGG